GAUGAACGCUAGCGGCAGGCCUAAUACAUGCAAGUCGAGGGGUAACAGAAAAAGCUUGCUUUUUGCUGACGACCGGCGCACGGGUGCGUAACGCGUAUGCAACCUGCCCAUCACUGGGGCAUAGCCCGGGGAAACCCGGAUUAAUACCUCAUGAUACCAUAAAGUAGCAUUGCUUAAUGGUUAAAGAUUUAUUGGUGAUGGAUGGGCAUGCGUCUGAUUAGUUAGUUGGUGAGGUAACGGCUCACCAAGACGACGAUCAGUAGCGGGUCUGAGAGGAUGAUCCGCCACACUGGGUACUGAGACACGGGACCAGACUCCUACGGGAGGCAGCAGUAGGGAAUAUUGGGCAAUGGAGGCAACUCUGACCCAGCCAUGCCGCGUGAAGGAGAAGGCCUUCUGGGUUGUAAACUUCUUUUAUACAGGAAAAAGACCCAUGCUGGGGCAUUGAAUGUACUGUAUGAAUAAGCACCGGCUAACUCCGUGCC
rnacentral:rRNA from 1 species